UAUAAUAUUGUUGUUGAUUGAAUUAUUGGCUUCUGAGGACAUGAAACCAUUGCAGUUCAGUAGACAUUUAGGUUUCAGGUUUAUAAUUUGUACAGUAUAUUAUUACCAUGGAUAAGGAUAUAUAUUUUUUAAACUGUUAAAUGACAAACUACACCGCAUCACUGCUUAGAAUGUAACAUUGCCUAAGGCAUCAUUUUCCACUCUUCCUGUUUUUCUCUCAGGCCCAGAGGCUGUGGGAGACCACGCUCCUCACAGGUUCAGGAGUUCACAGCAGGGUCUGUAGGAAGAGGAACAGGCCGUCUGCCAGUCCUGGCAUGUGCGGCUCUAAUUGCACAUCAUUGACAUAAUGGCCAAGAUGAUGUGGCUUUCCUCUGCAUGCACACACAUCACCUGCAGGAAAAUGCCCUUUAGAAUAAACGCAUCCUUUAUGCUGCUAUUUGAAGAUUGCUUUCCUGAGAGAUUCCUUUCCAGCGCAAUUCUCCAGAAAUGUAGCUCCUUCACCCUGUUUACACAUAACAAGAAAUUUCCGUUGCUCAGUGAGGGAUUCACAGCCAGCUAACAUGAGGAAAUGAAAUAUUUAUCGUCAGCGAACACCUACCAGGAACAGAGAGCGGACGGGCAAAGGCUCAUCUCUAGACCCUGUGGCAGUACGUCUCCUCUGGGGCAGAUAGAUGGGCCGUGUUCCUGCUGGGAUCCACUUCCACUUUGAGUCUGGAUUUCAAAGCCUCCGAAAACUGCAAAGGAAAGGUUCUGAUGUCCCGGGAAAAAAAAUAGAAAGAGACGCAGGGGUCAGCUCAGUGGUUCUGGUGUUGAGUCAAUUACCAUCUUGACCGAACGGAUGAUCAACACCUAACAUCAGCCAGCAUCCAGCUCAUGGGUUCUAGAGCCAUGUGCUGUGACCCAUAUUCAGCCAUGCAUUGCCAAUUUUUUUAUUGCAUGCAGGGAUUUAGCAAUUCUAAUACUUUAAUGAUUAUUGUAGUACGUUUGAAGGAGUCAUUGGUCGUAUUUAUAGAUAUAUAGACUAUAUAAAAAAGUAUAGGGUUGGAAAUUAUCUUGUUUUUGAAUGAAAAAGUAUC